rnacentral:rRNA from 1 species
UACGUAGGGUGCAAGCGUUAAUCGGAAUUACUGGGCGUAAAGCGUGCGCAGGCGGUUAUGUAAGACAGAUGUGAAAUUCCCGGGCUCAACCUGGGAACUGCAUUUGUGACUGCAUGGCUAGAGUUUGGCAGAGGGGGGUAGAAUUCCACGUGUAGCAGUGAAAUGCGUAGAUAUGUGGAGGAAUACCGAUGGCGAAGGCAGCCCCCUGGGUCAAGACUGACGCUCAUGCACGAAAGCGUGGGGAGCAAACAGG